UACGUAGGGGGCGAGCGUUGUCCGGAUUUAUUGGGCGUAAAGAGCUCGUAGGCGGUCUGUCGCGUCGAAUGUGAAAACCCGGGGCUCAACCCCGGGCCUGCAUUCGAUACGGGCAGACUAGAGUUCGGUAGGGGAGUCUGGAAUUCCUGGUGUAGCGGUGAAAUGCGCAGAUAUCAGGAGGAACACCGGUGGCGAAGGCGGGACUCUGGGCCGAUACUGACGCUGAGGAGCGAAAGCGUGGGGAGCGAACAGG
rnacentral:rRNA from 1 species